rnacentral:snRNA from 1 species
AUGCUCACUUUAUCAGAACACAUAUUACUACUGAAACAAUACAGAAAAUAUUAGCAUGGCCCCUGUGUAAGGAGUGUUGGGAGUCGCCCUCACAUUUG